CAACCUUGCGGCCGUACUCCCCAGGCGGUCAACUUCACGCGUUAGCUUCGUUACUGAGUCAGUGAAGACCCAACAACCAGUUGACAUCGUUUAGGGCGUGGACUACCAGGGUAUCUAAUCCUGUUUGCUCCCCACGCUUUCGUGCAUGAGCGUCAGUACAGGUCCAGGGGAUUGCCUUCGCCAUCGGUGUUCCUCCGCAUAUCUACGCAUUUCACUGCUACACGCGGAAUUCCAUCCCCCUCUACCGUACUCUAGCUAUGCAGUCACAAAUGCAGGUCCCAGGUUGAGCCCGGGGAUUUCACAUCUGUCUUACAUAACCGCCUGCGCACGCUUUACGCCCAGUAAUUCCGAUUAACGCUCGCACCCUACGUAUUACCGCGGCUGCUGGCACGUAGUUAGCCGGUGCUUAUUCUUACGGUACCGUCAUUAGCCCCCUGUAUUAGAAGGGACCGUUUCGUUCCGUACAAAAGCAGUUUACAACCCGAAGGCCUUCAUCCUGCACGCGGCAUUGCUGGAUCAGGCUUGCGCCCAUUGUCCAAAAUUCCCCA
rnacentral:rRNA from 1 species